GGGCCAUUAGCUCAGUUGGUAGAGCACCUGACUUUUAAUCAGGGUGUCGCAGGUUCGAUCCCUGCAUGGCUCA
rnacentral:tRNA from 1 species